rnacentral:rRNA from 1 species
AUUGAACGCUAGCGGGAUGCUUUACACAUGCAAGUCGAACGAGUGGCGGCCGGGUGUGUAAUCUCUCGGAACGCGCCAAGUAGCGGGGGAUAACUACUCGAAAGCAUGGAUAAUCCCGCAUACUAUUGUAUCGGCCGAUAUAGGCUUAGCUAGUGUGUUGGGUAAAGGCUCACCAAGGCAACGACCCGGAGCUGUUUUGAGAGGACGACCAGCCACACUGGGACUGAGACACUGUCCAGACUCCUACGGUAGGCAGCAGUGGGGAAUUUUGGAGAAUGGGGGAAACCCUGGUCCAGCCAUCCCGCGUGUAUGAGAAGGCCUUCGGGUUGUAAAGUACUUUUGGCAGAGAAGCGGUAGCUGCAGAAUAAGCACCGGCUAACUACGUGCCAGCAGCCGCGGUAAUAC